UACGGGGGGGGCAAGCGUUGUUCGGAAUUACUGGGCGUAAAGGGCUCGUAGGUGGCCAACUAAGUCAGACGUGAAAUCCCUCGGCUUAACCGGGGAACUGCGUCUGAUACUGGAUGGCUUGAGUUCGGGAGAGGGAUGCGGAAUUCCAGGUGUAGCGGUGAAAUGCGUAGAUAUCUGGAGGAACACCGGUGGCGAAGGCGGCAUCCUGGACCGAUACUGACGCUCAUGCACGAAAGCGUGGGGAGCAAACAGG
rnacentral:rRNA from 1 species